CCGUGCAGUGCUCCCCUGCCUCCUGCGGGCCUGGGCAGAGAUGUGCGGUACCGCGGGGGCAUCUUCGGGUGCCACCCGCUGUCCCCUGGUGCCUACCAUGCAGCCGGGCACUCGGGCAUCACCACAGCAGAUGGGAGGACCACCCAGUGCCCAGGCACUUCCGGUUUUGCCGCGUCCUGUGCUGCCUCCUGCCCACAGCGCUUUCUCCAAGUGGAACUUGGCAGGAACAGUCCGGGCAGCCCCACUGUGUUUAUUUCAAAGCUGUCUUUCAAGGCUAACGGGACCCACACUUGUCUGCAGACAGAGGUGCUGAGCCCAGGGACCACAGGGAACGGCUGCACGGAAGCCCAGGCGGCCGCAUGCACCUGUCUGCCCAUCUCUCAGCCCCCGUCCUGUCCAAGAAGCGGCGCCUGGGAGCACGGCCGCCACCGCAGCCCCCCAGCCCAGCUCGGCCUCUCUGUCUCCACUUGGGAAGCCAGGGCUGCAGCCCAACCAGAAGCCGUCUCUCGGAGGGGCGUGCCCGCUGUCCCCCAGCCCCGGGCUGGCCCCUCGAGCGCGCCCAGCCUUCACGGAAGGGCAGUCAAACCAUGGAACCCAAAGUAAUAAAGGUGUGACUCAGCGGCCACGCCGCACGGCUGCCUUUGAUGUUGCGCUUGAAUUCCGCAGCUCUGGAAGCCGUGCGAAGCUUGCAAUGUCCGUGAGCUGCAGGGUUGGUUGGUUUCUCUCAUUUGGCGAAAAUUCCAGGCUGUUGAGCAGUCACACUCCGUUAGAGCCUCAACACACGCUCCGGGGAAAAAUGAUUUCAAAAGCAAAACUGGGCGUGUGUGUGUGUGCGCGUGUGUGUGUGUGAUAUUUCAAAAACUUUCAUUAACUGUGUAAUCUGCAGCUGUUCAACUCUUUUUAAAAAGAUUUUUUUAUUUGUUUGAAAGGCAGAGUUACAGAGAGAGAGGGAGAGAUAGAGAGAGAGAGGUCUUCCAUCCGCUGGUUCUCUCCCCAAACUGCUGGAGCUGCGCCGAUCCGAAGCCAGGAGCCAGGAGCUUCCUCUGGGUCUCCCACACAGGUGCAGGGGCCCACGGCCUUGGGCCAUCUUCUACUGCUAUCCCAGAUCAUUAACAGGGAGCUGGAUUGGAAGUGGAGCAGCCGGGACUCGAACUGGCGCCCAUAUGGGAUGCCAGCACUAAAGGCUGCAGCUUUACCCACUACACCACGGCGCUGGCCCCAGCUGUGCAACUCUUAACAUUUUGUCAACAAGAGACCUGAGGCGUGACAGGGGUCCCACAGAUUGUCUUACCUGGUGACACCGUAGCUGUCUUAGUUUGUGUAAGACACACUCUAUGGUGUUUGCAUAAUGAGCAGACCAGAACGUGACG
rnacentral:lncRNA from 1 species